GCUUGUCAGAGAUUUUUUGAAGAUAUGGUGAUGUUAUGAACCAUUAAACACCAAUCACUUUUAAGACAGGACUAAGAAGAAAGCUAUUCCUGAGAAGUUCUAGAAGACCGGAGGCUCCUCUUCAGAAAUAAGCCACAACAGCCCAAGGGAGUUGGAGAGCACAGACCCUUCCAGCUGGAAGAAGCUAUAGAGACAGAGACCUCCACUCCCUCAGCACCUCAUAAAGAAUCGUGGGGAUAUGUGUCUCUCAGGGGGAAAUGA